AACGUAGGAGGCGAGCGUUAUCCGGAGUUACUGGGCGUAAAGCGCGUGUAGGUGGCUUGUUACGUCUGCUGUGAAAGCUCCCGGCUUAACCGGGACUAGGCGGUAGAUACGGGCAAGCUAGAGGGUGACAGAGGAGCGUAGAAUUCCGGGUGGUAGUGGUGAAAUGCGUAGAGAGUACCGGAGGAAUACCAGUGGCGCAAGCGGCGCUCUGGGUCGAGCCUGACACUGAGACGCGAAGGCAUGGGGAGCGAACGGG
rnacentral:rRNA from 1 species